AACGAACGCUGGCGGCAGGCCUAACACAUGCAAGUCGAACGAACCCUUCGGGGUGAGUGGCGCACGGGUGCGUAACACGUGGGAAUAUACACAUAGGUAAGGAAUAACUCAGGGAAACUUGCGCUAAUACCUUAUAAUAACUCCGGUUCAAAGAUUUAUCGCCUAUGGAUUAGCCCGCGCUAGAUUAGUUUGUUGGUGAGGUAAGAGCUCACCAAGACUACGAUCUAUAGCUGGUCUUAGAGGAUGAUCAGCCACACUGGAACUGAGACACGGUCCAGACUCCUACGGGAGGCAGCAGUGAGGAAUAUUGCGCAAUGGAGGAAACUCUGACGCAGCCAUGCCGCGUGAAUGAAGAAGGCCUUAGGGUUGUAAAAUUCUUUCAGAUGCGAAGAUAAUGACGGUACCAUCAGAAGAAGCUCCGGCUAAAUUCGUG
rnacentral:rRNA from 1 species